GACUUGUUGGAAAAGCUCCAAGUGAGUAUCGAAUCGCGAGAUUCUGAACUUCAUCAAGUUCCUUGAGCUGAGUUUUACUACAGGUGGAGUGGACGUUACAGCCGUAGUCGAGCUUUGAAAGUAUCAGAGCCUUAUAAACGUCAAGAAGCGUUUUUGGAUCGGCUCCCCACUUGUGAUGUGCGAGUACUCUGAUAAUGUUUAACAAUUUUCGACAAGACGUUACCAGCCCUUCGACAUGUCGUUUCCACCUCAGCUCGCUAUCGAAAACCAGACCUAAAAAUCUGACCUCCUGGGGCACAACUAUCAUUCGGCCAUUCAGUUUUUUCUUCUGACAGCUCGAAACCCACUUCCUUCGUGUUCGUAGAUAUGGAGUCGAUCGCGUCUUGGAGUUUGCGCGUCGCACCACCGACAGUUUCAUUCGCGCAAGCUAUCAUUAGGUCGUCCACGUACAGGCGUUUAUCGAUCUCGUGCGUGACACCUCGUGUAAUCUCGUUUAUCGCUAUUGCGAAAAGCGAACAAUUCAACGUCGAACCCUGCGGGACACCGUUCUCCAAGACGCGUUCUUUGGAGUAAACGUCGCCAAUCCUAACGGUAAAACUUCGUCCCUCGAGGAACGACCGGACAAAUUUGGGUCAUGUCGUACGCGCCUCUAAUGUCGAAGAGAGUUGCUACCAGGUGUUUGCGCUCGUCGAAUGCCCGCAGGAUAUUAUCGCCGAGCCCGACAAGAUGGUCAGUCGUCGAUCGCUCCUUGCGAAACCCGGCCUGAUAUGGUACCAGCACUCCGCUACUCUCCAAGUAAAACUGGAGUCGCACGUUAACCAUUUUUUCGAGCAGCUUUCCCAAACACGACGUCAGGCUGAUUGGGCGGUAGUUCUUCGAGAAGAGUGGGUCCUUUCCCGGCUUCGGAAUCGGGACCACAAUGGCCUUUUUCCAUUCCCGGGGGUCAUCGGUGCAAUGACGAAGCAUCUCAUUGUGGAUACCAUCUUGCGGAUUCUCCAAUAUCGUGUCGUCAGUACCGCGAAGGAAAUUGGGAUGCCUGGUACGAGACGAGAUCGACCAGAUAUGGCCCCGAUCUUCCCCCAUACCUCAUUCGAUGUAGCGUCCGGUGUGAUAGUAGACACGUAACGCUGCCAAGACGUUCUUUGGGCAUUGAGAAUCGCUCGUCGACACUGCUCUCUUCUUUUUAAACUCGACCAAGUUUUCGUUACUAGGACGACGUUUAAAUUGCCUCAAGGCCUGUUUUUUAACAUUUAUUUUUUGUUUUAUUUCAGGUGUCCACCACGGAACCCUGCGUUUGAUGACACAGGACCUCGAUCUUGGGAUGCAUUCUUCCGCCGCUUUCAAGAUGGAGUCGGUAAGUGAUUUUACAUUUGGGUUUCCCUCGUCGGGAGGAACGAGUUUUUCAGAGAAAGCUUUCCAAUCAGCUUGCCAUAGCUU